rnacentral:sRNA from 7 species
UAUUACUGACCUUACCGCGUGCCCUAUCCCAGGGCACGGUACAAACCCACUAGUCAGUGGCUCGCCUGAUGU